rnacentral:rRNA from 1 species
UAGUCCACGCCCUAAACGAUGUCAACUAGACGUUGGGCUCAUAAAGGAGCUUAGUGUCGAAGCUAACGCGUUAAGUUGACCGCCUGGGGAGUACGACCGCAAGGUUGAAACUCGAAGGAAUUGACGGGGGCCCGCACAAGCGGUGGAGCAUGUGGUUUAAUUCGAUGCAACGCGAAGAACCUUACCAGCCCUUGACAUCCUGGGAAUUUUGUAGAGAUACAUUAGUGCCUUCGGGAAUCCAGUGACAGGUGCUGCAUGGCUGUCGUCAGCUCGUGUCGUGAGAUGUUGGGUUAAGUCCCGCAACGAGCGCAACCCUUGUCCUUAGUUGCCAGCACGUUAUGGUGGGAACUCUAAGGAGACUGCCGGUGAUAAACCGGGAGGAAGGUGGGGACGACGUCAAGUCAGUAUGGGCCUUACGCCCUGGGGCUGCACACGUACUACAAUGCCCAGCAUAAUGAGAACCGAGACCGCGAGGGUGGGAGGGAAAUCUACAAAACUGGGG